rnacentral:rRNA from 1 species
GGGGAAUCUUGCACAAUGGGCGGAAGCCUGAUGCAGCAACGCCGCGUGAAGGAUGAAGGCCUUCGGGUUGUAAACUUCUUUGAUUGGGGAAGAAAUUUGACGGUACCCAAAGAACAAGCCACGGCUAACUACGUGCCAGCAGCCGCGGUAAUACGUAGGUGGCGAGCGUUGUCCGGAAUUACUGGGUGUAAAGGGCGUGUAGGCGGGGAUGCAAGUCAGAUGUGAAAUUCCGGGGCUCAACCCCGGCACUGCAUCUGAAACUGUGUCUCUUGAGUGCUGGAGAGGAAAGUGGAAUUCCUAGUGUAGCGGUGAAAUGCGUAGAGAUUAGGAGGAACACCAGUGGCGAAGGCGACUUUCUGGACAGUAACUGACGCUGAGGCGCGAGAGCGUGGGGAGCAAAC